rnacentral:rRNA from 1 species
GACGAACGCUGGCGGCGUGCCUAAUACAUGCAAGUAGAACGCUGAAGGAGGAGCUUGCUUCUCUGGAUGAGUUGCGAACGGGUGAGUAACGCGUAGGUAACCUGCCUGGUAGCGGGGGAUAACUAUUGGAAACGAUAGCUAAUACCGCAUAAUAGUAGAUGUUGCAUGACAUUUGCUUAAAAGGUGCAAUUGCAUCACUACCAGAUGGACCUGCGUUGUAUUAGCUAGUUGGUGGGGUAACGGCUCACCAAGGCGACGAUACAUAGCCGACCUGAGAGGGGGCUAGGCCACACUGUGACUGUGACACGCCCCAGACUCCUCCGGGAGGCAGCAGUAGGGAAUCUUCGGCAAUGGACGGAAGUCUGACCGAGCAACGCCGCGUGAGUGAAGAAGGUUUUCGGAUCGUAAAGCUCUGUUGUAAGAGAAGAACGAGUGUGAGAGUGGAAAGUUCACACUGUGACGGUAUCUUACCAGAAAGGGACGGCUAACUACGUG